GAUGAAGAACGCAGCGAAAUGCGAUAAGUAAUGUGAAUUGCAGAAUUCAGUGAAUCAUCGAAUCUUUGAACGCACAUUGCGCCCGCCAGUAUUCUGGCGGGCAUGCCUGUUCGAGCGUCAUUACAACCCUCAGGACCCCGGGCCUGGCGUUGGGGAUCGGCGGAGCCCCCCGUGGGCACACGCCGUCCCCCAAAUGCAGUGGCGGUCCCGCCGCAGCUUCCAUCGCGUAGUAGCUAACACCUCGCGACUGGAGAGCGGCGCGGCCACGCCGUAAAACACCCAACUCUUCUGAAGUUGACCUCGAAUCAGGUAGGAAUACCCGCUGAACUUAAGCAUAUCAAUAAGCGGAGGA
rnacentral:misc_RNA from 1 species